rnacentral:rRNA from 1 species
UACGUAGGGUGCAAGCGUUAUCCGGAAUUAUUGGGCGUAAAGAGCUUGUAGGCGGUUUGUCGCGUCUGCUGUGAAAUUUCGGGGCUCAACCCCGAACUUGCAGUGGGUACGGGCAGACUAGAGUGUGGUAGGGGAGACUGGAAUUCCUGGUGUAGCGGUGAAAUGCGCAGAUAUCAGGAGGAACACCGAUGGCGAAGGCAGGUCUCUGGGCCACUACUGACGCUGAGAAGCGAAAGCAUGGGGAGCGAACAGG